CUCAGAAAAAAAGCGUUUGUCUCUCUCUCAAAAUGUUUCGAUAACAUGAUGAAACAUGAUCCAUCAACACAGAUGGUUGAAGAUAAGGUUUGCAUGUUGAAUCCAAUGAAUGAUCUGAUUAAUCGGCCGUGCAGUGACAUUUGUAUAGCCAGAGCUUUAUUCACGUGACUCUAACCAAUAUCACAAAACAAGAAACCUGAGAAAAGAUAAGUUUUCAU